rnacentral:tRNA from 1 species
GAGGGUAUAGCUCAGUGGUGGAGCAUGUGCUUAGCAUGCAUGAGGUCCUAGGUUCAAUUCCCAGUAUUUCCA